rnacentral:lncRNA from 1 species
AGAAGGCAAACUCACGGACAAAAACCAAAAGGGAGAAAACAACAUUUGGUGAAAGGAGGAGUGAGAUUAGAAAAAUACAAGACACAAAACUUGAGAAAACAAACAAAAAAUAAAAAACAAAAUAAAAUAAGAAAUUUAGAAACAGAAGAAAGCAAGAUGGAAAAAGAUUAAAGAAGGGAAAAAGAAAGCAAAAGAAAUGGGCCAAGGAUAUGAGGUUUUCGUUCGAGUUUCUGGUGACGACGUUCUUGUUUCAAUACUUAGUUAAUUUGUCAUACAGGUUUUUAUCCCAUCUUGUACUAUUAUUUCAUAAGGUUUAUGGUGAAUCAAAAUAUGAAUGAAAUUAUUUAAAUAUCUUUAUACAUUAUUUAGUACGUAAAAUUAAUUAUUUAAACGUGAGGUUUGGACAUGAUUAUGCAUUUAGUUAUUAUAAUAUUUUUAUGUGCGCAGUUGUAGUAUAAACUAUAACUUAAGACUCAUGCAUGCGUGUAUGAAAAAAAAAAAAAAAAGAGUUAAACUGCAUUAUUCAUGCAGACAAUAAC